CAGCAGCCACGGUAAUACGGAGGGGGCUAGCGUUGUUCGGAAUUACUGGGCGUAAAGCGCACGUAGGCGGCUUGGUAAGUUAGAGGUGAAAGCCUGGAGCUCAACUCCAGAAUUGCCUUUAAGACUGCCGAGCUAGCAGGUGAGAGAGGUAAGUGGAAUUCCGAGUGUAGAGGUGAAAUUCGUAGAUAUUCGGAAGAACACCAGUGGCGAAGGCGGCUUACUGGCUCAUACUGGACGCUGAGGUGCGAAAGCGUGGGGAGCAAACAGGAUUAGAUACCCCGGUAGUCCCUGUCUCUUAUAC
rnacentral:rRNA from 1 species